rnacentral:tRNA from 1 species
GGGCAGUUAACUCAGUUGGUAGAGUAUCUCUUUGACGUGGAGAAAGUCAGGGGUUCGAGUCCCUUACUGCCCACCA